UACGGGGGGGGCAAGCGUUGUUCGGAAUUACUGGGCGUAAAGGGCUCGUAGGUGGCCAACUAAGUCAGACGUUAAAUCCCCAGGCUUAACCUGGGAACUGCGUCUGAUACUGGAUGGCUUGAAUUCGGGAGAGGGAUGCAGAAUUCCAGGUGUAGCGGUGAAAUGCGUAGAUAUCUGGAGGAAUACCGGUGGCGAAGGCGGCAUCCUGGACCGAGAUUGACACUGAUGAGCGAAAGCUAGGGGAGCAAACGGG
rnacentral:rRNA from 1 species